ACACACACACACACACACACACACACACACAUAUCUCUAGUCCCCUCCCCAGCCCUAGCUGAUGAGAGGAGAGAGGGUCUGGUGUCAGCACUAGGGGAGAUCUUGUGGAGGGCAGGGGGAGGAAAGAGAGCUGUGGUUGGAUUUGUUGAGCAAACACUUGAGUCGUUCCUACGAGAAAACUUCCGCUGCAAUCUGGAUUUUUAAAAAGAAUGAAGAGUUGUUAAUGAUCGAGCUUUUAUUCAUGGUACAAUUGACCUUUCUUCAGUCAAGGCUUGCGUUGCCCCUAUGUACAUACCUUGGCUCGGACGCUUAGCGUACACGAAUUAUCAAUUCUUGCUCUGUAGCUACAGUUGUCUGGAACAACAAGAAAAAGGUAUCGUCCUUGACAUAGGAGACAUUGUCCAGGACUGAGACGAGGGCAAAUGUGGGACAGCCUGAGGCAACAUUCAUCUCAUUUCGUGGUCUCUGGAAUGAUGAGGAGGUUGGUUCAGGACGGAACGACUGGAUAAUGUCUCGCUGCUUGUUCUGGUCCACCAGGGUCAGAGUGACUGCAUGUAUGAAUGGCCAGGGGAGGAGGGCAUCGUACUCCCCUCGCAUUAGGGUGAUAAAGAACGACAAUCAUUAUACAAGGAGAGGAGCUGAAUGGAAACAGAAGCCUAUCUGAUGGCUUGAUGAAGUUAACGAUACUGAAGCAAAUAGCCUGUAGCCAAACAGUGGAAGUAAACCUUUAUCAAAGGCACAGAGACCUCAAGAAAAAGAAGAAAGUUGAUUCUGCCACUGGAUUUUGUAACAUGUGGGGUGUCAGCUUUACCGUAUCCCUCGUGCGGCCUCGAGGCAUAAUGAUCUACAUUAUUGUACAAGAAGCUCGGAAUGCUCUGAAACAGAACUGACUUCUCUCCUAGGUAACCACUCCUCGGGGAGUGGAUAAAACAAAAGGCUAAGUUUGGUCACAAUGGAUAGCAUGGCAAGUUAAUUUACACCUAUCAAAACCAUGUUUACAUUUUUCACCUGUCUCACGGAGUCAUAUAGUCACUGUAAAGCUAAUAUUAAAAACAUUAACCCUGCAGGAGCCAUUUUAUUUUGCAGGGCUCCCUCUCUAUACACAUGCAUGUGAGUGUACGAUUUGACAGCGUGCAAGGAAGCCUACAAACGAUGAACUAUUUAUGAUAGCGUGAACGAUGGGAUUUUAACAACGUGAAUGUACGAUGGUAUAAUUAUCUCACCUAUUUCACAAUAAUUAUAACGAUUCUUGUUGGA